rnacentral:lncRNA from 1 species
CACUACACCUAUAUCAGAACUAAAUAGGGAAAUGAGGAGGUAAAUAAAAAUAAAAAUUGCAAACGACAACAAGAUCUUCACAUCUCAAAGUAUAUUUCACUUUGAACUUCACAUAUAAUAAGCUUUAAGUGGUACCUGUAAUGUAGCAAAGGAAACCGCCUAUGAGUAAAAUAAAGGGAUCAGCUAAGCAAUCAACAACCAAAUACAAAGUGCACCCAGGACUUCAACAGAGUAUUUAGAGAAUUCAACUUUCAGAAAUUGAUUCAAAACAUCACUAAUAGUGUUUUCAGAUAUAGAUGUAGUAUUUCAGCUCUAGCAUUGAGGAAUAUAGGUUUUGGAUUAGUAUUUCCAGCUCUAGUGUUAAAGACCAAGGUUUCCGUAUCCCCUCUAAUACCCGAAAUGAUUCAAUUUACAGCAAAACUGUUAGGGCAUCAGAUUUUUACUAGUUUCUUUUUAGUCCCCACCUCAAAUUGUAUUUUUUGCCUAAGUAGUCCUUCAAUUCUUAACUUGUGCGUCAAGUUUGAGGCUGGAAUUAUAUAUCAGUCCCUACUAGAAGGUUCUAAAAGACUCUUAUCAAAUCUUAAAAGACUCCAAUUCCUUUUGUACCCUUACUAGCUUUCUAAAAUUACCCUACCCCUGAAUUUGACCCAUUCAGUCCAUUUAACCUUAGUUCAGCUCUAAUUAGCCUUGGUUAGUUCUUUGACUCCAAUUCAAACACGAUCGACCUUGGUUGACCAAACUUGGGUCAAAUUUAGAUUAGCAGACUCAUAAAAAUAAGAAUUAACAAAAAAUUAACAGGCUUCUAUACAGGAUUAACAGAACAAGGGAUCAAAUAUCCAGAAAGAGUGCAUAUAUUAUCAAACUUAGCUUUCAAAAAUGAUUCAAUCAAUGAUAUUCAGAAAUACUUAAGAACAAAAAGCAAAAUGAACAAUCAGCUUAUGAAUCAAAACCUUAGGAACAUGAGUC